ensembl:snRNA U4 U4 spliceosomal RNA
UUAUUUAUUCUUUGGCAGUAUCAUAGCCUAUGAGGUUUAUUCGAGGCAUGAUUAUUUCUAGUUGAAAACUUUACCCAAUACCCGGCCUAGACAACUUGAAAUAUAGUCGGCAACAGCAAUUUUUGACAGUCUCUAUACCUAAUUUCCCUUCGGGGA